rnacentral:rRNA from 1 species
AUGGAAGUGUCGCGCCUCAAAAUGUUCAUGACGAACAAUGCAAGGCUACAAUCACUUGGACUACCUAUAUUAUCAACAUUGUUUGCAAACAAAGCUGUCAUUUCACCUGAAAAAAGAAAGCCCGAGCAUACUUGUGAUGAAUCUGAAGUUGAGUACCAUCCUAACGAGGAGGAUACCAGUGAAGGAGACUCGUCUGAUGAUAGUUUAAUAGAUGAGAGGGAAGUACUGCAAGACUUAAAGUCCACACCAUCUCCUAGCUCAAACUUGAAGGGGUUGAACGAGUGUAAGAAGACCAGUCAGGAAACAAAUAAGAAAACAUCUGCUAACAUGGCCCCUGGUGGAAUCAAGCCUCGGCCUCCUAAAAGAAUUCAUGCGGAGCUUCCAACAAAUGCGCGAGUCACAAGGUCAAACAAAAGACUAUUACUAGAUGCUGAUGCAAGUCCUCAAAGUUAA